CAGCUAGUUGGUGAGGUAACGGCCCACCAAGGCGACGAUCAGUAUCCGGCCUGAGAGGGCGGACGGACACACUGGGACUGAGACACGGCCCAGACUCCUACGGGAGGCAGCAGUGGGGAAUUGUUCGCAAUGGGCGCAAGCCUGACGACGCAACGCCGCGUGGAGGAUGAAGGUCUUCGGAUUGUAAACUCCUGUUGCCCGGGACGAAAAGCUUCGACCUAACACGUCGAAGUCUGACGGUACCGGGUGAGGAAGCCCCGGCUAACUCUGUGCCAGCAGCCGCGGUAAUACAGAGGGGGCAAGCGUUGUUCGGAAUUACUGGGCGUAAAGGGCGCGUAGGCGGCCCGCUAAGUCGAACGUGAAAUCCCCGGGCUCAACCCGGGAACUGCGUCCGAUACUGGCAGGCUUGAAUCCGGGAGAGGGAUGCGGAAUUCCAGGUGUAACGGUGAAAUGCGUAGAUAUCUGGAGGAACACCGGUGGCGAAGGCGGCAUCCUGGACCGGCAUUGACGC
rnacentral:rRNA from 1 species